rnacentral:rRNA from 1 species
UGGGGAAUAUUGGACAAUGGGGGGAACCCUGAUCCAGCCAUGCCGCGUGUGUGAAGAAGGCCUUAUGGUUGUAAAGCACUUUAAGCGAGGAGGAGGGUACUGGUAUUAAUACUACCAGGUACUGGACGUUACUCGCAGAAUAAGCACCGGCUAUCUCUGUGCCAGCAGCCGCGGUAAUACAGAGGGUGCGAGCGUUAAUCGGAUUUACUGGGCGUAAAGCGUGCGUAGGCGGCUGAUUAAGUCGGAUGUGAAAUCCCUGAGCUUAACUUAGGAAUUGCAUUCGAUACUGGUCAGCUAGAGUAUGGGAGAGGAUGGUAGAAUUCCAGGUGUAGCGGUGAAAUGCGUAGAGAUCUGGAGGAAUACCGAUGGCGAAGGCAGCCAUCUGGCCUAAUACUGACGCUGAGGUACGAAAGCAUGGGGAGCAAACAGG